AUACUGCAUGUACUGUGAACUUCUUUCUACUGCAUGUACUGUGAACUUCAUUUCAUACAAUAUAAACUGUGAACUUCUUUCAUACUGCAGUGUACUGUGAACUUCUUUCAUACUGCAUGUACUAUGAACGUCUUUCAUACUGCAUGUACUGUGAAGUUCUUAACUUCUUUUAUACGGCAUGUACUGUGAAUUCUUUCAUACAAUAUAAACUGUGAACUUCUUUCAUACUGUAUGUCUGUGAACUUCUUUAUACUACUGCAUGUACUGUGAACUUAUUUCAUACUGUAUGUACUGUGAACUUCUUUCAUACUGUAUGUACUGUGAACAAAAUAAUGGGCUCUCCCUUUAGAAUCUGGUUCCUCCACGAUGUCUUCUUCUUUUUAUUUUAUCCAACCUCCAAGUCCUUAUAGUAGAUAGGUUUUCCUUGCAACUGUCUCCUUUGGUUUCUCUUUCAUUAGUUGCCUGUGAACUGUGGAGGAUACAUGUAAUUGCGUGUUUGUGCUCUGACAAUACUUCUAUUUGCCCCUCAGGGGAUGAAUUACAUAUUCAUAUUGAAUUACACCUAAUGAUGAUAGAUUUAUAUAGACUGUGUUAGAUUUUGUGUCACACAUAUCACGGUAAAGAGAUUACCUUUCAUGUGCGAUAAAACAGUAUUCAACACGUAUAAACAAUAAAGAUUAGGGAGGGAACACUUCCUUAGUUAUUUUGCCGUAUGUGUAAUACAUAAGCUGUGUGGUGUGUGUGUGUGUGUGUGUGUGGUGUGUGUGUGUGGUGUGUGUGUGUGGGGUGUGGUGUGUGUGUUGUGUGUGUGUGUGGUGUGUGUGUGUGUGGUGUGUGUGUGUGUAGGGUGGUUGCUUUCUAAUCUCUAACUGCUGUCAUCAGGGUACAUCGGCCUGCGGAUCUUAGCACUGGAGGAGCAGCUGAGUUCCCUAGGGGCCCUGCCUGAGUUCUCCAUACACCACAGAGAAUACAGGUACAAGGAAACGUAGUCUGCAGAGACACACAAGCAGGAAGAAUAAAGAGCAAGACUGUUUGUCCAAAGCCACAGGACAACAAACUACGCAGAUCCACUUACUGUAUAAAGGGUCUCAAUUUCACGUCGUCUUGUGACUCGUGCGAUGGACCAUUGUUAAAAUAUUCAGUAUUUAUUUGUGGAUCCUCCCGAUCUGUUGAGGAGACAGAUCACUUAGAAUCUACGACUCUAGCGCCCCGUAGUGGUGUUUCUCAGACAUGUGGAAAAUGUUGACUUCAUACAAAGCAACAUACCUUUUUAUCUUUUUCUUGGUAGCCUAUAUUUAGUAGAAUUUGAUUUCAGGCCGUCGCAGUCCACUCCUAAAAUAAAUUGUCUUCCUGCUCUAUUUGUUUGUCUCAGCUCAACUGGUUAUGCCUGUUUUAUUGUCUUGCUGUAAAUUGUGUUAUUUUUUAAAGUAAUUAAAGUCAGCAAUUACUUUAAUCUCAAAUUUCCUUGCAAAUUCAUUUUAGAGAACUUGUCUAACUGUCAGUGUCACAUACAGGCCAGCAGGGGGCACAUUCUCCUCAAAACCAAAUUAAACCUACUGUACACAAUUAUUAGUGAAGUAUACUUCCAAUCUAUAAAAUCAUGUAUUUGAAAAAAGGCUACUUCUAAACAUUCAAAAUAUAUGUUUUCUUCUUAAUACCGUUCUUGAAUGUCACCCUAUUAACUCAAAUGGAUUGAUCACUGGCAUAAAGCAGUUUCUCUGGACCCCUGCAAGGUCAGAGUUCCGCACCUCCCCUUCCUAAAAUAAAAUAGAAUGUGUCAGCCAGACAGCCACUCACAAAGUAUAGACUACUGAUUGCUGUCCAUGGUGCUGAAAUUUCAACAUGUCUAUGCGGCUGUCUAUUGAAUCGAUUCUAGGCUUUCUGAGGUGCCAGGGCAUGUUGCCUAGAGCUUUGCUUUGGAUAAUGGAUAAAUUAUUAUUGUUAGUCCUAUUUGGUCGUCAUUCUCUCAUACUAAGCCUAAACAUUUCAUGAAGCUAUAGCCUCCUACAUGGUGUCUGUUGUCUGGAGGCAACAAUGUGUCUGUUGGCGGCUAUAAUGUAUUGACUUAUUCUAUAAUUAAAGUUGGAAAUUCA
rnacentral:lncRNA from 1 species